AACUUAUCAAGAGAGAUGGAGGGUAUGGCCCGAUGAAGUCUCAGCAACCGGCAAAUGCACGGUGCUAAAUCCUACAAGCAAAUGCUUGGCAGAUGAGUA
rnacentral:ncRNA from 2 species